rnacentral:rRNA from 1 species
GCAAGAUUAAAACUCAAAGGAAUAGACGGGGACCCGCACAAGUGGUGGAGCAUGUGGUUUAAUUCGAAGAUACGCGAAGAACCUUACCUAGCCUUGACAUUGAUAGAAUCUUCCAGAGAUGGAGGAGUGCCUUUCGGGGAACUUGAAAACAGGUGCUGCACGGCUGUCGUCAGCUCGUGUCGUGAGAUGUUAGGUUAAGUCCCGCAACGAGCGCAACCCUCGUCACUAGUUACUAACAGUUAGGCUGAGGACUCUAGCGAGACUGCCUUCGUAAGGAGGAGGAAGGUGAGGACGACGUCAAGUCAUCAUGGCCCUUACGGCUAGGGCAACACACGUGCUACAAUGGUUAGGACAGUGAGAAGCGAUACCGCGAGGUGGAGCCAAUCUAUAAACCUAAUCUCAGUUCGGAUUGUAGUCUGCAACUCGACUACAUGAAGCUGGAAUCACUAGUAAUCGUAGAUCAGCUAUGCUACGGUGAAUACGUUCCCGGGUCUUGUACUCACCGCCCGUCACACCAUGGGAGUUGAUUUCACCCGAAGCGGGGAAGCUAAACUGGCUACCCUCCACGGUGGAAUUAGCGACUGGGGUGAAGUCGUAACAAGGUA